CACCGGUGAUAAUAAAGCCUUAGAAAUAAAGCCUUAGAAAUAGUUGGGAGGAGGGAGGGACCGCUAUUCCUGCAAGGGCAGGUUUACAACUGAUGUCUUACACCCACUCCAGGAAACAAACCUGGGUAGGGACUGACGUGUUACGCCUCUUCUAAUGACAUUUUUUUUCUUUCCACCUCCUUUUCUUUGCCGUGUAACACAGAGGAGAAGCCCCCUGAAACGCACGCCACCUAUCUUCACGGGAGGGGAUAAUUGAGGAGAGCCAAACGUGAGCAUCUUCUGGGUUGAACGUGAAGUUUUUUUUUUUUCCUCCCUCUCUCCCCCUCUUCCUCCUCUUUUCUUUCCCUCACUCUCCUCUCUCUUCCUCCAUCUCUUCUCUUUUUGAGUGAAACCAACUAUGUCGGGCUUCGACGCGGAGCAACGACCAGGCGACAGUGUGUGUUUUUUCCCGUUCUUCGGGUGCAUGCGAGUGUGUACGUGUGUGUUAGUGUAGAAGGGGGAGAAACUUGGAGCGCGUCCACGCCGGCCGCAAUCAUUUCCUCUUCAACUUGUCUGCCUGGACCGGAGGAGUCAGCCAAGGACUCCAAUGGCAGAUUGAGUUUUUUGGUGAGUUUACUUUCUUCCCUUCAGUAUUUCAAUCAUUUCCAUCAUGACAUGAAGUCUUUUUCUAUCUUCUUCUUCUUAUUGAACAACAAAGAGGAGGAGGAGGAGGAGGAGGAGGAGGGCACAAGCGGGGUGAAGCUGCUUUGCCUCCCGUUUUUCUCGGGUCGAAAGUGGAUCCAGUCCUGGGUGAAUUAUUGUCAUGCGUAAUUUACUGCCACGGUGCUUGCAUGUAAACGAAGCAGUCCGGCACUCUCUCUCUCACACACACUCUCUCUCUCUCUCUCUCUCUCUCUCUCUCUCUCUCACACACACACACUCACACACACUUAAACCGUAGCUGCAGCUCUGUGUCCCAUUCAUCCAAGCGAGUCUGGAGUGGCACCUCUCCUUUUUUUCCCUUUUUUACGCACACAGGCUCCCCGACGUGAGGCCGCAUAUUCACCGUGAAAACGGAUUACAGUCGGUGUGUGACCUAUAGGGGGACCUUGUGCUUAAUGAAUAAAUUGAUUUAAAUGAGGGGAGGGGCAUCAAAAACAACGUAUGCAUGAAUUCAUAAUUCUUUAUGGUUUUAAUGAUUAAAAGUGCUAAAUGUUGAUGUUUAAAUUAACUAUAAUAAAAAUUGUAAAGAACUAUGUUUUGGGAAAAUUGUUAUUCAUGAGAUUAAUCGUCGACUAAAACAGGCAGAUUUGUAAUUAUUUAAAUAAUUUCUAAUGAAUUGUGGAUAUUUUUAACUGUAUUGAUUAAUGUUGAUCUCUCUCCUGUUUGUAUUUUUUUCUCGAAAUAAAAAUCUGAAGCUUUCGCAGCA